rnacentral:piRNA from 1 species
UAUCAAAUAUGUUAUUUCCUACACAGACACU